CCUGAACGCUGGCGGCGUGGCUAAGACAUGCAAGUCGCACGGGCCUCGCAAGAGGUCAGUGGCGAACGGGUGAGUAAAGAAUCGCUAACGUACCCCGGACUCUGGGAUAGCUACCCGAAAGGGUGGGUAAUACCAGAUGAUAUAACUUUCCUGCAUGGGAGAGUUCUCAAAGCCGCCGGCAACGGUGGAACGGUCUGGGAGCGGGCGAUUUCGUAUCAGCUAGUUGGUGAGGAACGGCUCACCAAGGCGACGACGCGUAGCCGGACUGAGAGGUUGGCCGGCCACAUUGGGACUGAGACACUGCCCAGACUCCUACGGGGGCUGCAGUAACGAAUCUUCCGCAAUGCACGCAAGUGUGACGGAGCGACGCCGCGUGUGGGACG
rnacentral:rRNA from 1 species